rnacentral:rRNA from 1 species
UACGUAGGGCGCAAGCGUUAUCCGGAAUUAUUGGGCGUAAAGAGCUCGUAGGCGGUUUGUCGCGUCUGCCGUGAAAGUCCGGGGCUCAACUCCGGAUCUGCGGUGGGUACGGGCAGACUAGAGUGCAGUAGGGGAGACUGGAAUUCCUGGUGUAGCGGUGAAAUGCGCAGAUAUCAGGAGGAACACCGAUGGCGAAGGCAGGUCUCUGGGCAUUAACUGACGCUGAGGAGCGAAAGCAUGGGGAGCGAACAGG